UUAUAUUUUAAAGAUGUAUACUCGAAAACUACAUAGUACUUUCGUGGAAGGCAAAGAUUUCAAUCAAGUUGUCGUCUACCUUCCAUAUCUCUCUCUCUCAAUACGUGUAGCUUGCUCUUUCCUUACCGAGCCCAUUAUGUAGUCCUCCAUGCAGGAUUUUAUAUUCAUUGAAAAAACAAAGCUUACAACUCAAAUUGAAGUUGGUAUCUGCAAACAAAUGAGUUAGGAUGGUACCCAUAAAUUUUACUCUACUUCAAAGAUUUCACCCCCGGCAAGAUCUAACAUCACCCCCAUAAAAGGGGAAAGGGAAGAAGAAGACUAAGACUGAGACCAUUGUUUUAGCCCCUUGUCGUGUGCCACAUGUCUUUGAAUAGCUCAACGCAUAC
rnacentral:lncRNA from 1 species